CCUUUGCCCUUAAUGACCCAUAAUAAAAUGCUCUUGUUACCAAGCUCUGCUGCCAACCAUGCAGGUUGCCAUGGUAACACCAGCUGCUCCUCCACACAGUUGCUUAGUGAUCAGUGUGAUGUCAGGCUCUUGAGAUAACCACCAGCUCAGACAAAUCUUUACAGUCACAGUGACAGUCCACUGGGUCUUCAGUUAUGACUGAGCAAGGACUCUGGUGUCCAGGUAUAAUUAAAAUACACUCAGACCUAGACUGGAAAAGCCUUCAGCACAGAAUGAGGUCAUCUUUUAAAUUUCACUAUUCACUUUCACUUCUCCACAUGACUGCUUGGUUGGAGCUGAAAAAACAUGACAUCGAACAGUUGGACAGAACUGUACAGGAAAACAUCAACUCUCCAAAAUUUACUUUCUUUAUGCAACUGACAUCUCCUAAGCAACAAACGGCUGAAAUUCUUUUCAAAAUCUGCAAGACUUCGUUAUUUUAGGAAAGCCUAGCUUUAAUUACUGUAGAAUGCUUUCUAAUGCUCAAAGACCACCUAAACUCAUUUGAUGCCCUUUUAAACUUUGUUCUGCUAUUAUUAUUUAGAGGAUGAAAUAGAUUUAAAGAGGGUUAUUUGCCCCAAAUAAGUAGUGGAAUUGAAACUUGAACUCAGAUCUUCCAAAUACAACUUACUACUCCUAGACAUGACUGGAGAGAGCUUUUAU
rnacentral:lncRNA from 1 species